CUAAGGAUUCAGAACUGUCUUCCUAAAGCCUUCUGGGGAGCUGGAUAUUCCUAGUAGUCAUAUCUAAAAUGGCUUUUAUGCUUGGAAAUAUUGUCCUGCUUCCUCUAUACUUGAACAUGUUUGAAUGGGCACAAGCUUUCUUGGGCAUUCACAAUUUCACAGUCAUUGCUCCAUUGUCAUCUGGGAUUUACUACAGAGCAUCCUUGCUCUGGAGAACCUUGAGACAUGUGUUCGCAUCUGAAUGUGAGUGCAAGUAGAAUGUAAGAAGGAAAGAAGAAACAGAAUGUUAUGGAUUUGAAACUUCUUGAUAAAACACAGCUGCUCAUGUUGGAGGACAUUUUACUGCAAACAUAAAUUCCCACAAGCAGCACCUGGAAUCCAAUAGUUUUCAAGACUGUGCUGUGAACAUUCUAACUGAAUAUUUAACAACUGUGGUAAAUGUCAAUUAUGUAAAUGGCAAAAUGAUAUACUCUAGAUUUAUGUAGUACAAACUAAAGUCAUAGUGGGAAAAAAAUUUCACAUAAAUAAUUACUUGAUGAAUUUUUGACUUCUUACAUGCAACAUUCUAAGCAACUCAGUAAAUAUAAAUGCAAAGCCCUAUUUUCUAUCAGAGAAUAAUUUAUAAAUACAGUUGGAAUAGAAACUGACAAUAUACUGCAGAAGUUAAUAAUGAAAUUUGCAGUUUUCUUACCACAAAAUUAUAUUAUGGAUAUGAUACCACUUUCUCCCUGUAAACUAUCUGCUCCUCCUCUUCCCUCUCACCUGCCCCUCAAAAUUGAAAGAAGUUGAGGAUCCAUGCUUUAUGAUGCUAACUAUCUGGAAUAGAAUUGAAAUAUUCAGUUGAAAUUCUAAAUGAUUAACAAUAGUUGGGUGCUUUUUUGUUAAGUACUCCGAACCCAUCAUUUUUAAAGAUUUUAGUUUUCAUUUGAGGAUUGUUCUAAAACAUCUCAUUACUCUAUUCAAAAGUGAAUCAUUAACUGUUUCUUCUUUUGUUGUUGUUAGCAAAUAUACACAUAUGGCCCAGAUUCCUAUUUAGUUUCAUCGUUAAUCAUAUUUCCAAGUUCAUAAUAGGUAGGACUAGGAGUGUCCUCUUUGAAAAUAUAUGUGGUUAGAAGGUGACAGCUUUUUCAAACCACAAAUUGACCCACCCUUCAAGAUUGGUAAAUUCCUCCAAGUAUGUAGUCCCCUUUACCAAAGUCUUUUAACUUCCCAACUUUAGAAGCACUGCAUUAAAAAAUCAAUUGUGCACAAGAAAAGUAUCCUAUACCAUGAAAAAAAAGAAGUUAUAUAUUGCUUCAAAGUUAACUUCAAUCUUGCAUAUAUUAUAAGGCAUAGAACAUGAUGGUUAUGUUCAAAACAUCAUUUGUCCAGACGCAAUUAUUGAUUGCCAAAAAUACAGUGUUAUGCAUGCAAACAUCACAUAUUUUCAACUUUUAACAGUACGAAAACACUUUUGGGUAAUUGCGUCUCUAAGUCAUUAAGCAAAUAAUAUUAGGCUCUGAGCAUUUAUGUAAUUGAUUGUAUCUUUUAAAAGAUAUAAUGAUGGAGCAACAUGAAAGGAAUCUGAAACUGUAGAAAAAAUGACAUACUUAAAGAUUGGAUAAAAUUAAUCAUUAGUUUACACAACCGCAUUAGUUUAAAUUGAUUGCUAAUUAUAUACCAGGCACUGUUCUAGGUGUUUUAUGUGACUUAACCGAUUUACUUCUCAAAGAAAUUCUAUGAUAAUUUACUUCUCAGAGCAAUUGUUUGACAUUACUAUUAUUUUCUUCAUAUUAGUAGUGAAAUAUAUGGCUAGGUUAAGGCAAUAGAUGAGAUAUUAGGAGAGCUUCCAUCCAAUUGUGGUCUUGCUUUUGGUCUAGGCACAUGCUCAAUUGCUUCUAAAAUGAGAAUCUGUGCCAAGGAGACUUGAAUUUAUCUUUCAUUUCUAAAAAGCUACAGGUUUUACGCUUUUCUAUUUUAUGGAUUGAGUGAAAAAUAAGUUAUCUAAUUUAGGCAAUUUCUUUUUUAUUUAGACUUCAUAGACUGUACCUCAGUUUUUUCAAAUUGCUCACAUGAUUGUAAUAAUAACCCUUCUCAGAGGAUUGGUUGGAAAAGUAAUGAGUUACUAUAAUGAAUUAAUGCAAGUAAACAUUUAGAAUAGUGCUUCAUCUGCAGCAAGCACUCAAAAAAUUUGAGCUAAUAUUAUUUUUGAUGAAUAUUAGUAUUUAAAAUUUUUUUAUUAUUCUGUAAUUUUUAAAGAUAUUUUAUUGUAUAUUUUCCAGCAAGUCUCUCUUAAUGCUUUUGAGUCAAAUUAUUUAACUGUUAACAAUAAUAGUAAACAAUUGUUAAUUGUAAAUUGGUAACACAGUCUUAAUAUCUUAGUAUUUUGAUGUUAUCCAUUACCAUCGCUCAAUACUAUUGGAUUGUUUACUUCUUAUUUCAUCUAGCACUUAGGCUAUUUUUUACUUCAAAUAUAAUCUUUCCUUAUAAGAAGGUUUACUUCUUUUCCUCCUCAACAUUCCUUUGAGAUGGCUAAUUUAGAAUACUCAGAGACAUUUUAUUUAUAAUUAAUCUAAAAUUCUCUUGCUCUCAAACGUCCCCCAGUCUGAUCUCAAAGCAUUUUCAUGUUGCUUUUAUCCACUUAUAUUAGGUCUGCCUUCCCCAACAUUUCACAGCUGGAUCUCUUAUAAAAAUUCAAUCCUGCCUAAUUUUCUAAUUCACUUUUAACCAGAUUAGAAAAUUGUAUAUGUAUAUCAAUGCCUCAGAUUCACGUAUGACAAGACCAAAUAUCUAAAUAACCUGUAACUACCUAAUUAAGAAUGAGAUUUGGUAACCAAUGAAAAUUUCAAAACUCUAUUUUCUCCAAAAAAGUAAUCUUCUAAUAUACUUACUUAUAUGCCUCCAAAAGGUUUUUUUUUUUAGUUAUAUAUAUAUCUUCACAUAUUUGUAAAUUCAUUAAAGUUUAAAUAGUGUGAAAGUGUGCAAUUUCCUACAUUAUGUAAAUUUUGCCAUUCAAAACUAAAACUCUUUGCCACUCUUGCAAAUAUAUCCAUUGAACUUGAAAUACCAUAUUAAUUCAAUACCUAAUAUUAUUUAUUUAAAAAUAUAAAUGAUAAAGAAUGUAAGUUUAUCACUGUUUCCUUUUCUCCUUAAACUCUCAUUUCUAUUCCAUUUCCUGCAUUCAGAAUUCACCCAUUAUAUAGUAUGGUUAUGCUUAAAAGUGUUUUACUGAUCACCAUCAUACUUGUCUGUAUCAAAAAAUAUGUUUAUUUAAAUUUAUUUCAUUAUAAGCUUUCACAUUAACAUAUUUUAAAAAUAUUUUAUUAAAACUGUCUAACUGCAGAUUUGGUUAAUUCUAUUUGAAAAAUAAUGACUAUCGUAUAACUUCAAUGGCAGAGGCAUUUCUCUUUGACAAAUAAUCUGUAACAUCAGACUAAGUUUUUACCAAGAAAAAUAUGACUUCAUAUAUCUAAGAUUACCACUUGACUUCUAAAUUUUAAUUCUGUGAUGGAUGGAUGAAUCGCUAGCUUAAUAAAGACAUAGAGCCUUAUUAAGAAUUUGUUGUCUGGAGGAAAAGAGGCAAUGUUUUUAUCAAUAUUUUUUAUCAAUGCUUCCCUUUUAUCUCAUGAGUAUCUCCUCAAUAAAAAUACAUUUUUCAAAAAUAACUGGAGAGAGGCAGUGUGGAGUAAGGAAAAAAUAUACAAUGAAAAUUUUCAUUUUACUUAGGUUUUACUCUACAAAAUAAGUUAGAAAAAUUUCAUCAUUAGUCAAAACACACCGUUCCUAAAGCCAUGUUUCAAGUUACUAAGAUGGACAAGGACAUGAAACUCUGUGUAUGCUUUGUCUUCCUUUGUCUAUAGCAGGAAUUGGUGAUACCAAUUAUUUAUUUUUGGGGUUUUUUGUUUGUUGUCUUUUGUCUUUUUGCCUUUUAGGGCCGCGCCGGUGGCAUGUGGAGGUUCCAGGUUAGGGGUCCAACCGGAACUGUAGCUGCAGGCCUACACCAGAGCUACAGGAACGCGGGAUCCAAGCCACUUCUGUGCCCUACACUGCACACAGCUCAUGGCAACCCUGGAUCCUUAACCCAUUGAGAAAGGCCAGGGAUUGAACCUGCAUCAUCAUGGAUGCUACUCAGGUUUGUUAACCGCUGAGCCUUGACAGGAACUCCAAAUGCUUUGAAUUCUUCAUAUAGCUAGUUGACCUACUGGCUUUGACACUUUGGGGCAGUGCAACAUGGUAAGAUUAACAACUGUGAAAGAAAAGAUGGCUAAGAAAAACAGGUUGAUAACAUCAACUAAUAUCUCCUCAGGAAAACAAAUUUUAAGGAAUGUAUGUGUGUACAAGUUUUGGAAUUUGCUUCUCUUAAAACCAUCCGUGCCCAUGUCCCCAUUAGAUAAUAUUUGUGAGCUGUGGAGAUUGUAUAGUUCAGCUUGAAGACCAUUGUUUUAAAACAAAGAUCCUAAAUAUUGAUGUACAUAGCAGCCAGGCAGGUAGGGUAAGUGCUUUAAGUCUUCAUGGUCUUAAUAACAGUAUGAAGAAGAUGCCUUAAUAAGAUAAUGCAUUUUGUUCACCAUUCAGAAAUAAGAAGCCAAUUAUGCAGUUGGGUUUUUCAAAGUUAAAAUUCUAGGUUUUUUUCUUAAUAUUAAAUAUUCUAAUUUCUAACUAUUGGGAACUCAUUCAAUAUUGAAUUAAAACAUUGCAUAGGCUAAAUGAAACAUAUCUGCAGGUAAAAAUCUAUCUCAGAAUUUUCUAUUUGUUUGUCUCAUCCUUUCUCUUCAUGUUCUCUUCCAAUUACUUGAGUUAUACUUUGAUUUUUCUUAUUAAUAUUCCAACGUAUUGCUGCGAUUAGAGACUGGCCUUACUAUGGCAUACACAUCUGGUUUCUUCUUGACAUUGCUCACUGAAGUUGAGAUUCUACUUUUCUGUCUCCCUACUUGAAGUCCAUGCGUGAAUGGACAGAUCAUCUGGGAUAAUGCAUUUCUAGGCAUUUGUCUUAAAGAUAACAGGCUGUGUGUGAUCCUUUACUAUUUCCUAACACUUUUAAUUUGGAAGAUUUGUUUCUCUUUAAUGCCAAAAAGUCUUCCAAAAAUAAUGUCUGAAGUUGUUUCGCCUUUGCAAAUGCUAUACAUUCAACCAUCCCAUGGCUUGAAAAAUGGUCCAGCCUCUGAUUUUCUUAGUAACAUUCUAUCAGCAAUCACUUUUGCCUCUUUUUUUCUAUUUCCAGCUGACUCUGCUGCUGUGAACACCAAAAUCUAUCUCCUAGGUCAUCUCCCAUUUAGAAACACCAGUUUCUUUGGAUUUCCCUUCCCCAUGUCCUAUGCAAGUGUUCUACUUAUUGUCAUUUGCACCCUUUGUCAUUUACCAUUUUGGAGUGGACUUUUCCUUUAAGUUCUUCCUGUAUUCUUACUACUUUCCAACACUUAAUUCUAUUUUCAUAGAGAUAGUCUCUAAGUAUCUCUUUUUCCUUCUCUUUUUCUUUUCCCUUUUUUUUUUUUUUUGCUUCAGCACUUUAUCCCAAGUCACACUCUGUUUUUUUGAAAACCUAUAAUAUCACUAAAUUCACACUACAAAAUCAAUUACAUUGUCUUGAAGUAUUAGUAUUUAUUAUUUUAUGUAUUUUUACCAAUUAUAUUUUAAAGUUUUCAAAAGCCAAGCUUGUAAUUUGACUCAAAAAAUUGAUUUAGAAAUUAUCAGUAACAGAUCUAUAUGAGUAGUCAAUGAAAGUCUAUUGUUUAACUCAUCCUGGCUUCACAUACAGAUGCUAAAGAGGUAAACAUACAUUAAGUGGUAGAGUUAGAAUGCAAUGUCUAUGUUAUAAAAUUAGUCAAUGCAUAAUAUUUGUGAAAGUACUUAGAAUUGAAUUUUAUUAAUUAAUUGAUUUUGUUAUUUUCUAUUUUUGCAUUGUGUCUUCUUACUUUUCUUUGAAUUCUGUGGGAUUAUAUGUCCUUUUUCAGUCACAACAUUUAGAUACUUUAAAUCACAUCCUAAAUGUCAUUUAGCAACUUGGGAGAAAUGAAAAAAGCGAAAUCACUUCUCAAGGGAAAAAAGAGCUGUGAGAUAGUCAAAAAAGAAAAAAAUAAUCUUUAAAUCUCUAAUAUUUACCAAUUCUAUACGAGACUCUUCUCAGGAAGGACGCUUACACAAAAUGUGUGUAUCAGAAAAGUAAACUUUGGUUCCUUCAUUGUUAGGUAGAGAUAAGUUUCAGUAUGCCUUGGAAUAAAUUCAAUCUAAUCUCUGUUUCUCAUACACUUCUUUCUUUUUUAACUGUGGAAUAUUUCUCUGGGUUCUCACUAGUUUGUUAUUCUCACUCAUAAUAUCACUGAGAUUUUUCUCAUGUAUUCUUCACAUUGAAUAGUUAAAGGAAAGAAGCAAUGCAUAUUGAGGGAACAGUGCUGACUGGCUUCAUCUUUAAACUUGUAUUACAUUUACAAACUCUUUGCUUCAUCUAAUGCUAGUGUCCAUUCAACUUUACAGCCAGAGAGCCCUCCAAGGUGACACAGAGAAAUCAAUCUUCUUACAUAUUUGUGCUAUGGUUACAUUCAUAAUUAUAUAGAGUAAUUAAGAAAUUUGAUGGAGAAAACUAUUUUAAUGCAUAAAAUCUUGUGAAAGUGAUCAAAAUUAGAAUUGGAAUUCCUUUGAGCUGUAGGAAUUCUGGCUUGGGGGUAUAUUUGCCUUUACAAAAGCUAUACAAUUAUAAUAAACUUAUCAAUUAAUGUAAGUACAUCAACAUUCUUAUACUCCAUGGACUCUUCUACCAAUGGCAGACUCAACAUCUAGGAACUAACCACCCAAUGUCAAUGUUUCCAACAGAGUUAAUUUCUCAGUGUAUAAUUUACUGCCUGUUAAAGGAAUCUGGUAUUAAUUAUAAAAUAGAUUUCAUGGAGUUUCUGUCGUGGCUCAGCGGAAACAAAUCUGACUAGUUUCGAUGAGGACACAGGUUUGAUCCCUGGCCUCGCUCGGUGGGUUACGGAUCUGCUACUGCUGUGAACUGUGGUGUAGGUUGCAGACACAGCUCAGAUCUGGUGUAGCUGUGGUGUAGGCUGGCGGCUAGAGCUCUGAUUAGACCCCUAGCCUGGGAACCUCCAUAUGCCACAGGAAUGGCCCUAGAAAGACAAAAAAAAAAAAAAUAGAUUUCACUAUUAAUAUCAGAAUUUCUUUUGGAUUUGUGUUGUCUUCAGCUCAAACUGUUCUCUCCUGUACACUUAUACAUGGUAUGGUAAUCUGUUAACAAUAAAGA
ensembl:lncRNA